AUGGAGAAACACCUGCUGCUGAUUUUAAUUCUGACUUCAGAUGCAACGUAUGGAAAUGAAAUUAAACCUACCAAAAUUUUGGAGUUUGCUGAGGAGGGUUCAAGUGUUACAUUAUCCUGCAGUUAUUCAUCUGCAUACAAUCUUCACUGGUACCGUCAGUAUCCUGGAUCAGCUCCUCAGUUCAUAGUGCUCAUCUCAGACAAAUCAAAAAAUUAUCAGGAGUCUAAUGUAGAUUCCAGAUUCAACGCAAAAGUCACUAAAGACAAUAAAGAAAACCAUGUGGAUCUGAAGAUCUCCUCUGCAUCUGUAUCAGACUCUGCUGUGUACUACUGUGUGAUGGCUGCAGACCAGAUUGUGCCAAAAAAGGGUGCAAAUGUCAAUGAGAAGGAGGGUCUGUGA